rnacentral:rRNA from 1 species
CAGUAGCCACGGUAAUACGGAGGGAGCUAGCGUUGUUCGGAAUUACUGGGCGUAAAGCGCACGUAGGCGGCUUUGUAAGUUAGAGGUGAAAGCCUGGAGCUCAACUCCAGAAUUGCCUUUAAGACUGCAUCGCUUGAAUCCAGGAGAGGUGAGUGGAAUUCCGAGUGUAGAGGUGAAAUUCGUAGAUAUUAGCUAGAACACCAGUGGCGAAGGUGGCUCUCUGGACUGUAACUGACGCUGAGGCGCGAAAGCGUGGGGAGCAAACAGGAUUAGAUACCCCCGUAGUCCCUGUCUCUUAUAC